rnacentral:misc_RNA from 1 species
GAUGAAGAACGUAGCGAAAUGCGAUAAGUAGUGUGAAUUGCAGAAUUCAGUGAAUCAUCGAAUCUUUGAACGCACAUUGCGCCCCUUGGUAUUCCAUGGGGCAUGCCUGUUCGAGCGUCAUUUGUACCUUCAAGCUUUGCUUGGUGUUGGGUGUUUGUCCAUUCUCUUGCAGAGGGACUCGCCUUAAAGUAAUUGGCAGCCAGUGUUUUGGUUUUGAAGCGCAGUACAAGUCGCGAUUCAACGCUAUACGCCAGCUUCCACAAGCCUUUUUCACUUUUGACCUCGGAUCAGGUAGGGAUACCCGCUGAACUUAAGCAUAUCAAUAAGCGGAGGA